GAUCCUGCUCAGGAUGAACGCUGGCGGCGUGCUUAACACAUGCAAGUCGAACGAAGCACCUUGAUUUGAUUCUUCGGAUGAAGAUCUUGGUGACUGAGUGGCGGACGGGUGAGUAACGCGUGGGUAACCUGCCUCAUACAGGGGGGAUAACAGUUAGAAAUGACUGCUAAUACCGCAUAAGACCACAGCACCGCAUGGUGCAGGGGUAAAAACUCCGGUGGUAUGAGAUGGACCCCG
rnacentral:rRNA from 1 species